rnacentral:rRNA from 1 species
GACGAACGCUGGCGGCGUGCUUAACACAUGCAAGUCGAACGGAAAGGCCUGCUUUUGUGGGGUGCUCGAGUGGCGAACGGGUGAGUAACACGUGAGUAACCUGCCCUUGACUUUGGGAUAACUUCAGGAAACUGGGGCUAAUACCGGAUAGGAGCUCCUGCUGCCUGGUGGGGGUUGGAAAGUUUCGGCGGUUGGGGAUGGACUCGCGGCUUAUCAGCUUGUUGGUGGGGUAGUGGCUUACCAAGGCUUUGACGGGUAGCCGGCCUGAGAGGGUGACCGGCCACAUUGGGACUGAGAUACGGCCCAGACUCCUACGGGAGGCAGCAGUGGGGAAUAUUGCACAAUGGGCGGAAGCCUGAUGCAGCAACGCCGCGUGCGGGAUGACGGCCUUCGGGUUGUAAACCGCUUUCGCCUGUGACGAAGCGUGAGUGACGGUAAUGGGUAAAGAAGCACCGGCUAACUACGUG